AUGAUAGAAGACAUUUGCAUUCAUACAUUGGAUUGCAGGCCGAUAACCUUUUUGAGCUGGAGCACAGCUGCUUCACAAGCCGUCAGAGGAGAAUCUAUUAAUUACGGCCACACUGAUGGAAAUGCUAUUCUCAGUACUGUUGCCCUCAGAGUCUCCAGGAAUACAGCAGUCAAAAGUACAUACCCCAAGUCUAAGAGGAAAAAGAGACUCUGUUUUCAUGCUGAUGAGAAGAGGAGCUCACAGGAAACACAUAAGAGCAUAUCAAAUCUUUCGCCAGCUCUCCUGGACCACACUGUUCCUCUUUGAGGCAAGCCUUUGUGAUGCACCACAAUGAUGAAGGAAGAUGAAGAACAAUCAGAGAUGCUCAGCAGCGGGGUUCACAGUAAUGGUGCUAUAGCCUGCUCAGCCAAUCAGACUCUGGUAUGUAAAUGAGAUAGGAGAGCACGUUUUCUGAUUGGUCCUCCCCAGACUUGCCAUUGCCCUCAUCAACAGGCUCUCUUCCUUGUUGUUGUGCCAUCAUUGAGG
ensembl:lncRNA